ensembl:lncRNA
GGACAGUAGAGGUGGUGAUCAGAGAUGAAUUCAACUUGGAUAAAGAUGAGAAUCUCUGCUCUGGGGAGGAGGGUCACUGACCUUCGAUGGUUUGUUGCCUGAUAAAGAGGAUACUUGCUGGCUUGAGGAGACUAUAAUGUUUUGAGGAGGAAAUGUGGCUCGAUGACUUAAAGAGGAGGAGGAAUUAUUGGGCGACACUUUUAAUUACCAACGUAACCUCAGUGGAACUGUGGCUUCAUCGAGUUCCAGCUCUAGGCAGACAGCACGUCAGGAAGGCUGUAAGACAUCACAGAGACAGAUGCUUGGCUUUUUCUUUGUCUUUGUGUUGGAGAUUGGCUCUGAUGUUUCAGCCUCUUCUGGAGCUUCUAGCUGCUGGCUGUCUGGCCCCUCCUGCUGGUUCUCUGAACUCCCCUCCUGGUUGUCUGCCCAUGCCUGUUGCCUCCUUGGCCUUUCCUGGUGGCCAUCAGCAGAUCCAGUGGGCUCUUGGCUUACCUGCUGGCCUGUGGCCCACCUGGGCAACUCCUGACCGUGGUUGUAAUCGUGGCUGUGUUGGGUGGUUAGACACCGGGUGUUGAUUUGAGCAUCAGCCUCCAGAUUCAUCUGCUCCAGGAGGGGGUAAGAAGACAGUCCCAGUAGGAGACGGAGAUCGUCCAGAAGAAGAAGAGCUGUCCAUCUCCUCAGAGACUGCAGGAAAGGUCUACAAGUUUUAUUUCUGGAAAAUAAAGAGAUGCCUUCGUUCA